rnacentral:rRNA from 1 species
AGCGAACGCUGGCGGCAGGCCUAAUACAUGCAAGUCGAACGGAUCCUUCGGGAUCAGUGGCGGACGGGUGAGUAACGCGUGGGAACGUGCCCUUUGGUACGGAACAACUGAGGGAAACUUCAGCUAAUACCGUAUGUGCCCUUCGGGGAAAGAUUUAUCGCCAUUGGAGCGGCCCGCGUUGGAUUAGGUAGUUGGUGAGGUAAAGGCUCACCAAGCCUACGAUCCAUAGCUGGUCUGAGAGGAUGACCAGCCACACUGGGACUGAGACACGGCCCAGACUCCUACGGGAGGCAGCAGUAGGGAAUCUUGCGCGAUGGGCGAAUGCCUGACGCAGCCAUGCCGCGU